rnacentral:rRNA from 1 species
UACGUAGGGCGCAAGCGUUGUCCGGAAUUAUUGGGCGUAAAGAGCUCGUAGGCGGUUUGUCGCGUCUGUCGUGAAAGCCCACGGCUUAACUGUGGGUCUGCGGUGGAUACGGGCAGACUAGAGGCAGGCAGGGGAGAAUGGAAUUCCCGGUGUAGCGGUGAAAUGCGCAGAUAUCGGGAGGAACACCGGUGGCGAAGGCGGUUCUCUGGGCCUGUACUGACGCUGAGGAGCGAAAGCGUGGGGAGCGAACAGG